rnacentral:lncRNA from 1 species
AGGGCAAGCAUUAAUCAACACAAAUUAAUCAAAGGUUUGUCUCUGUAGAACUAACCCAUAUGACUUGUCCAUUAUUUGAACUAUUUCCUGAAGAGGACUCCUUCUCUAUGACCUUCAACAAAGUCGGAAGUCCACUCUCUCCAACCGUUUCAAGAACAGUAAAUCUACCCAAGGUCAAACCAGCAGGUAACCCUCUCUUUUCAGCAUAAUCUUUCAACAUGUUAACUGCUCUCUCCAUAGGAUUCUGAGCAAUACCGUGAAAUUUCACGGACCCUGUGACAUGAAUAGUCACAGAUUUUGGCCUCUCUGAUCCCAUUUUCUUGUUCGAAAUACGGAAGGAUUUCUUAAUACUUGAUAGCUUCCACUAUCAAUUACCUGUUCACACCAUUUACAACAGCCUCUUUAAACUUGACCAACCAUUUCAACACGCAUUAGUACAUUAGUAAAAAUUGACCAAAGCAAUUAAUAACGAGUCGUCCCAUGCAUAUUACCUCUUGAAUUUGGAUAAACAAUCAAAAUGAGCAAAGCAACAUCACAACAUUUCAAGUCAAAACACCAAGAAAACGUUAAGAAACAUUCUCAGUGCUUAUACAACAAUUGACCAAAGACAAAACUGAUUAAACAUAUAUUCACCUUUUUACUCUUUUCCCCCUUAUACAACAAUGGUCACAAAUAUCUUACAUGAUAAAACAGUUAAUUCACAAGUACCUCUCACGAUGAAAAGUUUAAAAUGAUUCAAAUUAACUGAUGGUUAAGUUCUUGGCUUGCAUAAAAUUAUAUAUUAACCUUGUACUAGAUGGUACUUUUACAUAACCUUCUCCAACAAAAAAAUGGGUAGAGCACACAAUCAGUGAAGGAGAUUACCUCCACACAGAACGUCCUUUCAACCAAGAAUGGGUCUGAGAAGAGACAGACCUAGAACGAGAUCUUGUACGCUUUGGCGAUUUAGCUUUAGGAUAUUUGCUGCUAGGAAAGAGAAUAGCAAUGAUAUCCAUGGAAUUAGUUGAGGUGCGCAACAGCUGGUUCAGACACUACGGUAUAAAAGAAACACUUAGAAGAUAUUGUCAUGCGAUUUGUAAAGUUCAAUGACCAACUAACAGACAUAUUUACCAAAUCUCUAGAAGGUUCUCGAGAUAGUUAUAUAUAUAACAAGCUCAGCAUAUAUAAUGUGAAUGCACCGGCUUGAAGCAGAGCAUCAGAUAUGCUAGUACUAAAACUGUAAAUAUUAAUUUUCCACAGUGGACAAGUAUGAAAAAACUUAUUAUAAUCCGAAAGAUAUAAAUAGAUAGAAUCGUAAGGCAUAAAAGCUGCCUACUCCCAUAAACUUUCUCCCCAGUUUUAAUUGCUCAAUUUUCGAUCAAUAGGAGGCCACAACUAAUAGGCUUUAUGAAAGACUUAAUGAUAUAGCUGCAAGGAACCCGAGUUAGUAUUCAUUGGCAAAUGAAGAUUUAUAACACAAAUACCACUAAAACUACAGAGACGAGAGGGCAAUGUUUGACUAAACAUUUUCCUGAACAAAAGGGCAAAGAAAUAACCAAAAGUAACCAGAUGCAACUUCUACCUAGAAUGCAAGUUCGACAAAAUCUCUCUGUACGGAAGCAAGUGAAAAUACUCAACAGCUGGAGCAACCAACCAUCCAAUUGGCUUUUUCUUGAUUAAAGGACCCUGCAAACUACUCCAAAAAGCAGAUUCAGGGGAAAAUCGCCCAUCUUCGGCAUUGGAUCAAUAUUUUAUAGUACUGAAAAAAAUUUAAAACAAUAUUUCAUUUAUGCAAUGCAAAAUGCAGCAUUUCUAACAGAUCAUGUAAUUAAUAGCUAAGGAGAGAUCAGUUCCUUACAAAUUUCACUAACUAGAAAAAAAAACAUUUGAUCAUCCAUGUUGUUGUUGUCAUCCAUGAAAUGCACUUAGCAGGCUACUUAGCACAUCAAUAACUCAACAUAAACAAAUUAUGCUAAUACAAGUGCAAAAUUGAAUCUCCUACUGGCACAUUAAAAUUUUAUAGAUUAUGCAUCAAUAUUGGAAACAAGUCUCACAUUUGACAAGAAAUGUAUUUGGUUUCAAGGUCCAAAAUAUACUAUAGUUUUUUGUCGUUAAUUUCCUGAAGCAUGCACUUGAAUAUGUAGAUAAAUGAACCAACCUUUCAAUGACGUCCACAAUAGGAAUUGUAAAAUCUUCAUUCGCCAACUUAGCUUUAAUCAUUUAAUAAUUAGGUGUAAUCAUAUUCCACUGCAUCGAUCUUGCUUGGAAAUUCACAGAUUCAUGUAGUACCGAACCGCAAUCAACAGUUCCAGGCAUAUCAUUACGCUAUUUUCAUGUAGAAUUUAUUUCUAUAACAAAAUUGCGGCCUUUAGUCAAAAUUCUGAGAAGUUUAACAAUUUAUCGGGAAAUAUAAUUAUUGCAGAGGUGUUUUUCUUCUUGCGGAUUCAACUAUAAUAACUCGAGGACGCAAAUUGGAGGAGAUUUACGUGUUGUCAUGGACCGGAAAAAGCAGAAAAUGGUUGCCAAGACAUGGAGACCUCUUUCUACUCAAUCAAGGUCUAUUGAAGGGCAGUGUUUCUCCUCACUUGCUAAUAUUAGAUUGAGUUGUUUCACUGUUCUAGAUUGUUGAGCUUAUGUACCUUCGUGUAGCUAUUGGAAUUCUUAGGUUUACAAACCUCGCGUAAAAUCCAAAUAAUUAAAUAGGUUGUUAUAAAGCAGUUGUUGAUCACAAUUUCAAAAGGCUUAAGCACCUCAAGAAACAAAACUAUUUGGAAUUUGGGUGUCUUAAUAAGUAGUAGAUGUGUUUAUUUGCCUUGAAAGACAGACUAAUAGUGAAAUGAAAUAGACCUGAAUAAAGUGGAAUUGAUACAGAUGAUUUUAUAUAACUGAUCCAAACUAAUUUAGGUCAAGCAUUUAAAUGAAGAAACAUAGGAUUUUAGGUGAAACACUAAGGUAAACGAAAAUGCAAUUAAGGUAUGAACUGGAAACCCUAAUUCAGAGAAAUGCAAGUCAAACAUAUAGUUGAUCUAAUAUACUAACGCAUUCUUCUGAAGGAAACAAAAAUAACUUGUUCUUAAGAAAAGUUUAUCCAAAUCCCCACAACAAGUAUAGAUAGAAGUUAUCCAAUGAAUGUAAUGUAUUUCUACUGAUAUUGAACAUAUAAAUCUUUUUGUCCCCGUGAAACUAUCAUAAUUAAGGGCUUGAUAGAUUUUUGGAGAAAAUAUCAAGGAUAUUCAAAUAAGCUAAUAACCUUUCCCACUGCCUAAAGGUAGAGCGAAGAGAAGAUAUCACAAAUAUCAUUGCAGCAAAAGGUAAAUCAUAUCUUCUCCCUUCUGGAAGAAAUAUUUAUGCUGGUAAUAUCCAUGUCACAAUCAUAAUUCAUAUUGAUGCUAAUUAGAAACAAACAGCUGUAAGAAACAAGAAACGACACAGCAGUUCACUAAAGAAGUGAUAGCUUUCUUAGCAUGCACUGUCAAACUUGCAAAUUCAUCAGAAUAACUACCAAAAGCUUGUAAUAUGUCUGGUGAGCCACACUCAAAAUUACAUAUCAGUGUUCCCAGUAGUGUCGGUCAACUUCGAUUGUGAACCAUGGGGUCUGUUUGUUUUUGACUUCAUAGAAAGAUAAAGAGAUCUGCAUCAUUUUGAGGUUCCAACAGAAGUUUUGUUAGCCACUAUCAAAUCCAACAGCAA